GGACGUGCUAAUCUGCGAUAAGCGUCGGUAAGGUGAUAUGAACCGUUAUAACCGGCGAUUUCCGAAUGGGGAAACCCAGUGUGUUUCGACACACUAUCAUUAACUGAAUCCAUAGGUUAAUGAGGCGAACCGGGGGAACUGAAACAUCUAAGUACCCCGAGGAAAAGAAAUCAACCGAGAUUCCCCCAGUAGCGGCGAGCGAACGGGGAGGAGCCCAGAGCCUGAAUCAGUGUGUGUGUUAGUGGAAGCGUCUGGAAAGGCGCGCGAUACAGGGUGACAGCCCCGUACACAAAAAUGCACAUGCUGUGAGCUCGAUGAGUAGGGCGGGACACGUGGUAUCCUGUCUGAAUAUGGGGGGACCAUCCUCCAAGGCUAAAUACUCCUGACUGACCGAUAGUGAACCAGUACCGUGAGGGAAAGGCGAAAAGAACCCCGGCGAGGGGAGUGAAAAAGAACCUGAAACCGUGUACGUACAAGCAGUGGGAGCACAGAGCAAUCUGUGUGACUGCGUACCUUUUGUAUAAUGGGUCAGCGACUUAUAUUCUGUAGCAAGGUUAACCGAAUAGGGGAGCCGAAGGGAAACCGAGUCUUAACUGGGCGUUAAGUUGCAGGGUAUAGACCCGAAACCCGGUGAUCUAGCCAUGGGCAGGUUGAAGGUUGGGUAACACUAACUGGAGGACCGAACCGACUAAUGUUGAAAAAUUAGCGGAUGACUUGUGGCUGGGGGUGAAAGGCCAAUCAAACCGGGAGAUAGCUGGUUCUCCCCGAAAGCUAUUUAGGUAGCGCCUCGUGAAUUCAUCUCCGGGGGUAGAGCACUGUUUCGGCAAGGGGGUCAUCCCGACUUACCAACCCGAUGCAAACUGCGAAUACCGGAGAAUGUUAUCACGGGAGACACACGGCGGGUGCUAACGUCCGUCGUGAAGAGGGAAACAACCCAGACCGCCAGCUAAGGUCCCAAAGUCAUGGUUAAGUGGGAAACGAUGUGGGAAGGCCCAGACAGCCAGGAUGUUGGCUUAGAAGCAGCCAUCAUUUAAAGAAAGCGUAAUAGCUCACUGGUCGAGUCGGCCUGCGCGGAAGAUGUAACGGGGCUAAACCAUGCACCGAAGCUGCGGCAGCGACACUGUGUGUUGUUGGGUAGGGGAGCGUUCUGUAAGCCUGUGAAGGUGUGCUGUGAGGCAUGCUGGAGGUAUCAGAAGUGCGAAUGCUGACAUAAGUAACGAUAAAGCGGGUGAAAAGCCCGCUCGCCGGAAGACCAAGGGUUCCUGUCCAACGUUAAUCGGGGCAGGGUGAGUCGACCCCUAAGGCGAGGCCGAAAGGCGUAGUCGAUGGGAAACAGGUUAAUAUUCCUGUACUUGGUGUUACUGCGAAGGGGGGACGGAGAAGGCUAUGUUGGCCGGGCGACGGUUGUCCCGGUUUAAGCGUGUAGGCUGGUUUUCCAGGCAAAUCCGGAAAAUCAAGGCUGAGGCGUGAUGACGAGGCACUACGGUGCUGAAGCAACAAAUGCCCUGCUUCCAGGAAAAGCCUCUAAGCGUCAGGUAACAUCAAAUCGUACCCCAAACCGACACAGGUGGUCAGGUAGAGAAUACCAAGGCGCUUGAGAGAACUCGGGUGAAGGAACUAGGCAAAAUGGUGCCGUAACUUCGGGAGAAGGCACGCUGAUAUGUAGGUGAAGUCCCUCGCGGAUGGAGCUGAAAUCAGUCGAAGAUACCAGCUGGCUGCAACUGUUUAUUAAAAACACAGCACUGUGCAAACACGAAAGUGGACGUAUACGGUGUGACGCCUGCCCGGUGCCGGAAGGUUAAUUGAUGGGGUCAGCGCAAGCGAAGCUCUUGAUCGAAGCCCCGGUAAACGGCGGCCGUAACUAUAACGGUCCUAAGGUAGCGAAAUUCCUUGUCGGGUAAGUUCCGACCUGCACGAAUGGCGUAAUGAUGGCCAGGCUGUCUCCACCCGAGACUCAGUGAAAUUGAACUCGCUGUGAAGAUGCAGUGUACCCGCGGCAAGACGGAAAGACCCCGUGAACCUUUACUAUAGCUUGACACUGAACAUUGAGCCUUGAUGUGUAGGAUAGGUGGGAGGCUUUGAAGUGUGGACGCCAGUCUGCAUGGAGCCGACCUUGAAAUACCACCCUUUAAUGUUUGAUGUUCUAACGUGGACCCGUGAUCCGGGUUGCGGACAGUGUCUGGUGGGUAGUUUGACUGGGGCGGUCUCCUCCUAAAGAGUAACGGAGGAGCACGAAGGAUGGCUAAUCCUGGUCGGACAUCAGGAGGUUAGUGCAAUGGCAUAAGCCAGCUUGACUGCGAGCGUGACGGCGCGAGCAGGUGCGAAAGCAGGUCGUAGUGAUCCGGUGGUUCUGAAUGGAAGGGCCAUCGCUCAACGGAUAAAAGGUACUCCGGGGAUAACAGGCUGAUACCGCCCAAGAGUUCAUAUCGACGGCGGUGUUUGGCACCUCGAUGUCGGCUCAUCACAUCCUGGGGCUGAAGUAGGUCCCAAGGGUAUGGCUGUUCGCCAUUUAAAGUGGUACGCGAGCUGGGUUUAGAACGUCGUGAGACAGUUCGGUCCCUAUCUGCCGUGGGCGCUGGAGAACUGAGGGGGGCUGCUCCUAGUACGAGAGGACCGGAGUGGACGCAUCACUGGUGUUCGGGUUGUCAUGCCAAUGGCACUGCCCGGUAGCUAAAUGCGGAAGAGAUAAGUGCUGAAAGCAUCUAAGCACGAAACUUGCCCCGAGAUGAGUUCUCCCUGACCCUUUAAGGGUCCUGAAGGAACGUUGAAGACGACGACGUUGAUAGGCCGGGUGUGUAAGCGCAGCGAUGCGUUGAGCUAACCGGUACUAAUGAACCGUGAGGCUUAACCUU
rnacentral:rRNA from 1 species